UACGUAGGGGGCUAGCGUUGUCCGGAAUCAUUGGGCGUAAAGAGCGUGUAGGCGGCCCGGUAAGUCCGCUGUGAAAGUCGGGGGCUCAACCCUCGAAUGCCGGUGGAUACUGUCGGGCUAGAGUGCGGAAGAGGCGAGUGGAAUUCCUGGUGUAGCGGUGAAAUGCGUAGAUAUUGGGAAGAACACCGGUGGCGAAAGCGCUCUGCUGGACCUGCACUGACACUGAGGGACGAAAGCUAGGGGAGCGAAAGGG
rnacentral:rRNA from 1 species